UACGUAGGGGGCAAGCGUUGUCCGGAAUUAUUGGGCGUAAAGAGCGUGUAGGCGGUCCGGUAAGUCAGCUGUGAAAGUCAAGGGCUCAACCCUUGAAUGCCGGUUGAUACUGCGGAGCUUGAGUACAGAUGAGGUAGGCGGAAUUGACGGUGUAGCGGUGAAAUGCUUAGAUAUCGUCAAGAACACCGAUAGCGAAGGCAGCUUACUAGGCUGUAACUGACGCUGAGGCACGAAAGUGUGGGGAUCAAACAGG
rnacentral:rRNA from 1 species